AUGAAAAUAGAUCAGAGGAUGAUCAUCGUGUCGUCGAUCAUGGGUUCUCUAGGGGUGCUGAGCGCCAUCCUGGGGUUCUCAGCCGAGGGCACGAAGCUCACUGUUUGGACCGUGUACAGGUAUCGAGGGGUGUGCCUGUACCCGCAGAACCCGGCGCUGGGGCUCGGGGUCUGCGCGGCCAUCUUCCUCAUCGUAGGCCAGAUCAUCUUCGCGGUCGUCGGCGGCUGCUGCGGCUGCUGCAAGUCCCGCGCCAUCCCCUCCGAGACCAACCGGGUCAUCGGCGUCGUCUGCGCCGUCUUUUCAUGGAUCGCGGCGGUGGUCGCCUUCGGGCUGCUGGUGGAAGGCGCCAAGUGGAACGACACCGGGACGCGGUACUCGUCAGGGUACGGUGGGUGCUACGUCCUUAAGGACGGCAUCUUCGCCGGCGGCGCCGUGCUCACGCUCGUCGCCACUGCCCUCGGCCUCACCUCCUACAUCAUGCUCAGCACGCAGCCGGCCGCUACUGCCACCACCACCGCCGCCGCGACGCCCCCGUUGGGCGGCGCCGGGAUCGCGAUGGGACAGCCGCAGUUUCCACAGCCUUCUCCCGCGCCGAACGCGAAGCUCCCUCCUGUCCCUUCUCCGGCACAACAGUUGCCCCCUCUUCCUGCACACGCGCCGGGCCCGCAGAUGCCCGCUGCUUCUCCUCCUUCAGCUCAGGGCCAUGGACCGCAGACGCCGAACGAGCAGGCGCUGCCUGAGCUGCCUCCCAAAGGACAUGAAAUGCUCGCACGCCCCGUCUGA
rnacentral:rRNA from 1 species